rnacentral:tRNA from 1 species
GCGCCCUUAGCUCAGCUGGAUAGAGCGUCGGCCUCCGGAGCCGAAGGCCACAGGUUCGAAUCCUGUAGGGCGCGCCA